UACGUAGGGGGCGAGCGUUGUCCGGAUUUAUUGGGCGUAAAGAGCGUGUAGGCGGCCAGGUAGGUCUGCUGUGAAAACUCGAGGCUCAACCUCGAGACGUCGGCGGAAACCAUCUGGCUAGAGUCCGGAAGAGGAGAGUGGAAUUCCGUGGUGUAGCGGUGAAAUGCGCAGAUAUCAGGAAGAACACCCGUGGCGAAGGCGGCUCUCUGGGACGGUACUGACGCUGAGACGCGAAGCGUGGGGAGCGAACAGG
rnacentral:rRNA from 1 species